CCUACGGGAGGCAGCAGUGAGGAAUAUUUGUCAAUGGCCGAGAGGCUGAACCAGCGAAGUCGCGUGAGGGAAGUAUGUCCUAUGGAUUGUAAACCUCUUUUGUCAGGGAGCAAAGUCACCCAAGUGUGGGUGUUGGAGAGUACCUGACGAACAAGCAUCGGCUAACUCCGUGCCAGCAGCCGCGGUAAUACGAAGGAUGCGAGCGUUAUCCGGAUUUAUUGGGUGUAAAGGGUGCGUAGGCGGGUUAUCAAGUCAGCGGUAAAAUCGUGGAGCUCAAAUCCAUCCAGCCGGUGAAACUGAUGAUCAGGAGUGGGCGAGAAGUAUGCGGAAUGCGGGGUGUAGCGGUGAAAUGCAUAGAUAUCACGCAGAACUCUGAUUGCGAAGGCAGCAUACCGGCGCCCGACUGACGCUGAAGCACGAAAGCGUGGGUAUCGAACAGGAUUAGAUACCCCUGUAGUC
rnacentral:rRNA from 1 species